AGGGGUCCCACCAACAUGGACCUUCAUUUUUCUCCUUUCUCGAGUCUUCUUUGUCUUCUCGGAGCUCCCAGCCAUGGAAAAGGCUGAGCUAGUUUGGAUCCACCAGACCACCACAUCUAAGGAUCACCCCCAAGCUCCCCCUCGGUUUCCAACUUCCUGGUCGUUACCUGCAGGCACCUCGUGGCUGGGACGACGCUUGGUUUGGAUCCCCGUGUGCCUCGUCGAUCUCCCAGGUCGGUCAAUGGGAGCAGGGCCCUAAUAGCAGCUGCGUGAUGGAGGAUGCGAGCUCGUCGAACUCGCGGUUCCUUUCCAGUUUGCGUCCAUGGCGGCGAUGAAGUAGUGGAUCUCGUUCCCCUUAGCUCCUGCGCGAUUUUGUGAAUCUUGGGGGUGUUGUCCGUCCCCAAGCGCCGAGCCGGAGGCGUCAAUGCUGUCCCCAAGCUAGGCACCCGAUGCAUCGUUUUCAUCCUCAACAGCCGCAGCCCGGGCUUCGGCACUGCAUUCUUCCACCUGCAGGUCCCCCCGCCCCCAUCUCUCUUCUCCCUUUUUUGGUCUUUGUACGAUUGAACCAAUAUACUUUAAGGUACUGCUUGCUAGUUGCUAGUGACAAAUGUAUACUGGUUGUUAUUGAUUUUCAUCUAGAUUGACUUCUUGUCCAUCUACAAAAUGGCGAUAGUAAGUUCGGGACGCCUAACACAGUUUAAGGCAAAAUGUUAUUCAGUUUAUGUCCUUUCCACUUAUUUCCGGGCUUGUGACUGAAAUUGGCAGUGUUCUGCCCCCCUACGCCCAUUAAUAUUCACAAAAUUAAGGAAGUAAUUCGUGUAUUUGUGAUUUUAAUAACUGAAUAGUAAAAUUAGGUCUGAUUGCAAUAUAAUAUAUAACCAUUGGAUUGUACUAUAGAACAGGCUUGAAAUAUCAGAUUAUAUAGAGUGUCGAUGUUUGGUAUUAUUGAACUAUUUUCAUCAAAUGUUGAUGCAUGUUUCCAAUGCUUAUGCGGAGUAGUACACCAUAUCCAUGUACUUAUGGUUAUAUAAAAGGCUUUUAAAAUCCAUCUAGUUCGCGGCGAAGAAGAUGGCCUCUGCCCAGCGAAUGUUCAAGUCCACACCCAUCUACUACAUAUGUAUGGAAGUAGUGGCGCAUGCUCUUUUUAAUAAAUCUUUUUUAAUGCCUGACCAAAUCAUUUGUUUUGUAUUGAUCAGUGUAUACAUGCACUUGGCUUGAGUGCAUGGACAACUCUUAUGUAGUUAAUUCCCAAAGAUAAUGGAUGAUGGUACCUUAGACUACAAAACUGAUAAUUUAUAAUUAGUUGAGUGAAAUCAGUUUUGGCUCUCCAUGUUUGAUGUGUAAAGCACUGCCAAGAUUUGCUAUGUCGACCAUUUAGUCCCGCGGUACAAUGGAGAUUCCAAUAAUCCCAUAGUUCGUGGAUGCUGCUAGUCAGUAGGUUAAAAUGUGAACCCCUAUUUAAAAAAUUAUUUUUAUCUGUCCUCAUAUUUGUAAUCAUUCAUUCAAUAUGAAUGGCAAAAGGUGAAAAUGCGUGUUAGAGAGGCGCACAUCUAUCAAAAGGAUUUGGUGAUUUUCUGGAAUAAUUAUGCGGGUCAGACAUGUUACGGAUCUACAUAACCAACUGAGUACACCUCCUUUUUUAUUCUAUUGUCGUUAUAAACAAAAGCCUCCUUUAUCAAUUCCUUGUGAUACUAAAGAAAAUCUAAGUACAUAUUAGAACAGAAGAUGUAAUUUCAAUGGAAUCUGCAUAAUUUUAUAUUAAGAUGAGCACGACUAAACAUUCAUAGUCUUCAAAGUGGAUUUGUCUGCAUGCACACAUAAUUAGUUAAAUCCAUGUUCUCAUGGACUCUAAAGUAAACACAAUUGUAUGCCAAUGCAAAUUACUACUCCCUCUGUUCACAAAUAUAAGAUGUUUUGGAUAUUUCAAUAUGGACUACAUACAUACUGAAAUGAGUGAAUAAACAUACUAAAACAUGUCUAUAUACAUCCAAUUCACAAAAAAAUUGGAACAUCUUAUAUUUGUGAAAGAAGGGAGUACAAAGUAUAUAGAGUAUCUAGAAUAUAUUUGUAUAAGUACAACCAAGGGGAUUAAGUUUGUAGUUUAGCACUUGCUACUGCCUUGUUCUAGCUUGUGUUCCUUCCAAGUGCUUUCCUAAUCCUCUUGUCUUCUAUUGAUUCUUUUCUCCUAGUUUUACAUGCCGUCUUUUUUUCUUUUUUUCCUGUAGAUUUUGAAUCCUACCCGUUCACUAAAAUUUGAAUGUCAGUAACAUAAUUGUGUUCAGAGAUGCAUAUGGGGCAUUGUAGCACCAAGAUGCUAGUGCAUGUCCGUCCGAAUAUUUAAAAAUAUGAACUUUCUUUCUUAGAUGAGAGUACCUCGUCACUGAUAACAUCAAUGCUAAAAUGGUCAUGAUUUUCGUCCUGUCCUGCCUGUAAAGUAAGAUACUAUACCUUAUACUUCCCCUUUUCGAAAUUUCUUGUCGCGGAAAUGAAUGAAAAAUGAGUGUAUCUAAAACUAAAAUACGUCUAGAUACAUCAAUUUCUCCGACAAAUAAUUUCAGACGGAGGGAGUAGUUUGGAAUAUAAAAUAGGACGUUUGUUUUUUCUUAUAUUAGAAAUGUAAAGUUUUGACAUGUGUAAAGUGUUCUUUCAGGUACUCUUUUAAAUUUGUUGUCGGUAAGAAUUUUAACAUGUGUGAAGUUUCUUCAUAGUCUUUAUUUGAAUCAUCUUCUAAUGUACAUAGUGGUAUUUCUUUAUAGAGGGAGUAAUUACAUAUGGACAUACUUUCUUUUCGAAUAGAUUUGCCUGCAGUUUUUGGAAAUUCAUAAAAUAACGACAAUUAUUUAACACAUGUAGAAGAUGAGAAGUGAAAUACCUGAUCAUUGAGAAGUUUGUUCUCUCUAACCUUUUUUGCUUCAUUGGUGGCUUCUGUUCCUUGGAUUUCCAUUCUGCUUUAUAAAGAAAUAACUUGCAUUAUACUUUUGGUAAACUAUUUGAACUUGUUUUCCAAUAUGGAUCCUGCUGGAGGUGGCUUAAUUUUGUGUAGAAGAUGGUACCUGCUAGAGGUGGUGUUGUCGCUAGACGGAACUAAUGAUGUAGGUUGCGUCAUUGCUGGCUGGAGUUGAUCAGACAAUCCUCAAUAUUAUGUACAAUGUCCUACAAGCUCAAUAGUGGUCCAACAUCCGCAUCGAGCAGCAGUGUGUCGGUUUGAUGGGAGAAGUCGGUUUUCAGUCCCUCAUGGAGGCCAGCAGUUUAUGGCGUAUGUCUGCGUCCAUGCCACUGCUUUGUGGACAGACCUUCAAAAUUCAGGACAUCUUGAAGGAGAAAGGUAGGGUUCUCUCGAGGAAGUUUGGGUGCCUCGGUGUAGCAAGAAUUCCUGAGUAUAUCUUGAAGGAGAUCUUUCUUUUUGGUAAAGUAUCUUUUGUUUAUGUAGAUGUCCAUCUGUACUCUAAUCUGAUAGUUAUGAAACAAUAGUUUCUUCUCGGAUGCAUGUUUUGCUUUCAUGUUAGAUGUAACAUCAGAUUGAAUUGAAAAGGAAAAAAAACGUGGUGCUUCA